rnacentral:rRNA from 1 species
UACGGAGGGUGCAAGCGUUAUCCGGAUUUACUGGGUUUAAAGGGUGUGUAGGCGGACUUUUAAGUCAGCGGUGAAAGCCCGAGGCUCAACCUCGGAACUGCCUUCGAUACUGCGGGUCUCGAGUCCGGGAGAGGUGAGUGGAAUUCCUAGUGUAGAGGUGAAAUUCGUAGAUAUUAGGAAGAACACCAGUGGCGAAGGCGGCUCACUGGCCCGGUACUGACGCUGAGGCGCGAAAGCGUGGGGAGCAAACAGG